CAUUGAUUACUUCGAUUAUUCGUUCACUUCUGCGAAUAUACAUACAAAUGCGACUAGGUGGAGUUUUUCCCUUUUUUUGCAGAUCAUCAACUACAAUAAUAUCAGAAACUCUGGGGAGGAUUAGAGCUUUCUUUGUUUGCCAAGCCGGAGCUUGAUCAUAUGAUGGUGAACAUAGCUGCAUGUAUUUAAUUUUUAUGCUUAGUCAUCGGAGCUUGAUCGUAUGAUGUGAAAUGAUUUUUUUAACUGCAAAGAUGUGAUGAGCGUGAGAAAUUUCUGAGGAAUGUAUUGCUUUUCAUUA